AGUGAACGCUGGCGGUAGGCCUAACACAUGCAAGUCGAACGGCAGCACAGUAAGAGCUUGCUCUUACGGGUGGCGAGUGGCGGACGGGUGAGGAAUACAUCGGAAUCUACUUUUUCGUGGGGGAUAACGUAGGGAAACUUACGCUAAUACCGCAUACGACCUACGGGUGAAAGCAGGGGAUCUUCGGACCUUGCGCGAUUGAAUGAGCCGAUGUCGGAUUAGCUAGUUGGCGGGGUAAAGGCCCACCAAGGCGACGAUCCGUAGCUGGUCUGAGAGGAUGAUCAGCCACACGGGAAGUGAGACACGGUCCAGACUCCUACGGGAGGAAGCAGUGGGGAAUAUUGGACAAUGGGCGCAAGCCUGAUCCAGCCAUACCGCGUGGGUGAAGAAGGCCUUCGGGUUGUAAAGCCCUUUUGGUGGGAAAGAAAAGCAGCAGGUUAAUACCCCGCUGUUCUGACGGUACCCAAAGAAUAAGCACCGGCUAACUUCGUG
rnacentral:rRNA from 1 species